rnacentral:rRNA from 1 species
CCUACGGGUGACAGCAGUGGGGAAUAUUGGACAAUGGGGGGAACCCUGAUCCAGCGACGCCGCGUGAAUGAAGAAGUAUUUCGGUCUGUAAAGCUCUGUCAGCAGGGAAGAAAGAAAUGACGGUACCUGACCACGAAGCCCCGGCUAACUACGGGACCGCAGCCGCGGUAAUACGUAGGGGGCAAGCGUUAUCCGGCGUUACUGGGUGUAAGGGGAACGUAGACGGGUAAGUAAGUCUGGAGUGAAAGGCCGGGGCCAACGCCAGGGACUGCUCUGGAGACUACUGAACUUGAGUGCAGGGGAGGUAAGCGGAAUUUCUAGUGUAGCGGUGAAAUGCGUAGAUAUUAGGAGGAACACCAGGUGCGAAGGCGGCUUACUGGACUGUAACUGACGUUGAGGCUCGAAAGCGUGGGGAGCAAACAGGAUUAGAUACCCGAGUAGUC